AUUUAUUUUUCAUUAGGAAGUAUCUUUUUAGAGUUACAGUGUUGACUCCAGAACCACCUCCUUCUGGAACCACAACUGAAGUAUUGACCUAAUAGAAGCUAACUCCUAUCUUAACAGCCACACUGUUUCACCUCUAGUUGCAGAGUGGGCUGCUUCAGGGAGCAGAGUUUGCUGCUGUGAGUGGCAAGCCAGGUUGGCACUGAAGUGGAUAACCCCAGCUCUAGUGAAGGAGCAAGGGCAAAUGUGGUUUUGUCUUGGUCCUACUGACCCCAGUGGAAGUCCAGGCUGCUAAAUGACUCACUCUUACCAUGCUUCAUCCUCGAACAGCUUUCUGCACUGAGUAUGUGUUUUGGAAACAAGCCAGCCUGAUCCUACAAAUCCUGUUUUUCUGUGUGAUUUGUUUUACAAGAGCACUCACAUGAGAUAUGGUGCAGGGAGGAAGGCGGGGGGGUC
rnacentral:lncRNA from 1 species